rnacentral:lncRNA from 1 species
GUGCCUUGAUAUUUGCAGGGGAAGUUAAAAUCUUGAUAUCUUUCACCGAUUUUCUGAUAGAAAAAGCAGUUUGGAGAAAGGACAUGAAAUCUUCAAGACACGCAAAAAUAUUUCCAUUCACAAGUUACCUCCUGAUAAUGAAAUAACGGCCUAACAAUGAUCCACCUCCAUUUUGGAAAUCCAAAGAUGAGUCAAAAUGAGUCACAGCCUGAAUGAGGAGAACUCAGCCUGCUUCACCUGAAGCACCUCUGCAGGAAGAGCUAGGACAAAAAUCAGUGGCUGCAUUUUGACACAAGCAGUUUUUCAGUUACAUCAGUUCUGUGUUUCCAGACUCUUCAAGCUGCCCUACUGUGAUGACAGAAAGCUUCUGAAGGAAGAAGACACUGAGAUUCCAGAGGAACUCAUUAUGCCAGAAGGUAUGGCUUCUCAGAACACAGAACGAAAGAUAAAGUACGAAACACUUAGCGUGAAGUUCUGGGGAAAAUAAAAUGGUCUAGCAGGACUGUAUCUCACAACUUUUCUCAGCUAUAUUUCCUCUAUCAGUGUGAUACCGUUCAUAUUAAGA